rnacentral:rRNA from 1 species
CCUACGGGAGGCUGCAGUGGGGAAUAUUGGACAAUGGGGGCAACCCUGAUCCAGCCAUGCCGCGUGUGUGAAGAAGGCCCUCGGGUUGUAAAGCACUUUCAGUGAGGAAGAACGCCUGGUGGUUAAUACCCAUCAGGAAAGACAUCACUCACAGAAGAAGCACCGGCUAACUCCGUGCCAGCAGCCGCGGUAAUACGGAGGGUGCGAGCGUUAAUCGGAAUUACUGGGGGUAAAGCGCGCGUAGGUGGCUUGAUAAGCCGGUUGUGAAAGCCCCGGGCUCAACCUGGGAACGGCAUCCGGAACUGUCAAGCUAGAGUGCAGGAGAGGAAGGUAGAAUUCCCGGUGUAGCGGUGAAAUGCGUAGAGAUCGGGAGGAAUACCAGUGGCGAAGGCGGCCUUCUGGACUGACACUGACACUGAGGUGCGAAAGCGUGGGUAGCAAACAGGAUUAGAUACCCUGGUAGUC